GACAGAGGUGCCGAGCGUUAGGCGGAAUCACUGGGCUUAAAGCGUGUGUAGGCGGCCCGUUAAGUGUCUUGUGAAAUCCCCCGGCUCAACCGGGGAACUGCUGGGCAUACUGGCGGGCUUGGGUCGCUCAGGGGCAGACGGAACAGGCGGUGGAGCGGUGAAAUGCGUAGAUAUCGCCUGGAACGCCGAAGGUGAAAACAGUCUGCUGGGGGCGCACCGACGCUGAGACACGAAAGCCAGGGGAGCGAACGGGA
rnacentral:rRNA from 1 species